AUUGAACGCUGGCGGCAUGCCUUACACAUGCAAGUCGAACGGCAGCACGGGUGCUUGCACCUGGUGGCGAGUGGCGAACGGGUGAGUAAUACAUCGGAACAUGUCCUGUAGUGGGGGAUAGCCCGGCGAAAGCCGGAUUAAUACCGCAUACGAUCUACGGAUGAAAGCGGGGGACCUUCGGGCCUCGCGCUAUAGGGUUGGCCGAUGGCUGAUUAGCUUGUUGGUGGGGUAAAGGCCUACCAAGGCGACGAUCAGUAGCUGGUCUGAGAGGACGACCAGCCACACUGGGACUGAGACACGGCCCAGACUCCUACGGGAGGCAGCAGUGGGGAAUUUUGGACAAUGGGCGAAAGCCUGAUCCAGCAAUGCCGCGUGUGUGAAGAAGGCCUUCGGGUUGUAAAGCACUUUUGUCCGGAAAGAAAUCCUUGGCCCUAAUACGGUCGGGGGAUGACGGUACCGGAAGAAUAAGCACCGGCUAACUACGUG
rnacentral:rRNA from 1 species